GCUAAUUUCUUUGUAUUUUUCUUAGAGGAGGUUUUGCCACUUUGGCCAGGCUGGUCUCCAGCCCUGCGGUUGUUUUGUUUUGUUUUAUUUGUUUGUUCAUUUGUUUUUUGAGACAGAAUUUCACUCUUGUUGCCCAGGCUGGAGUGCGAUGGUGCAAUCUCUGCUCACUGCAACCUCCACCUCCUGGGUUCAAGUGAUUCUCCUGACUCAGCCUCCCAAGUAGCUGGGAUUACAGGUGCCUGCCACCAUACCCAGCUAAUUUUUGCCUUUUUAGCAGAGAUGGGGUUUCGCCAUUUUGGCCAGGCUGGUCUCGAACUCCUGACCUCAAGUAAUUGACCUGAUUCUACCCCCCAAAGUGCUGGGAUUACAGGUGUGAGCCCCUGUGCCCGGCCCAGCCUGUUUUGAGCAUUUCACGGCUGCUGGAAGACCUGUUGUCUGCUGAAAUCUUCAUAUUAACCACUCUUCUGAUUUAAGUACCUCCCCUCCAAACAACAUUAACGGGGCGGUUAAUGUGCAAAUAGAGAUGGUGAUUUGCUGCUGACCUUGUGCAAAUGUUAAUAAUCCACACAAGCACCUCUCGUUUAUAAUUAGAGCGGGCUGGAACGUAGCACCAUGUGACUUGCAUUCUUAUCAGUAGGCCUUUACCUGGGCAGCGAGGGCCCAGCUUUCUGGCUGGCCCUGUCCCUCAUCCUCCAUUGUGCUGCUUGUGAAACUGUGUUCUGAGUGACCCAUCUCAUGGCUCUGUCUGUGUUCUUGUUUGCAGGAUGAUGAUGGGCCGGUUCGGUAAGUAACCCCGGGGAAAGUGGGGAGACGGAGGCAUGAUAGGGCUGCCCCAGGAAGCUCCCAGAGAGUGUACAUGGCCAUUUAGGGGGAGUGGGAAACUAGAUGGGUCUCACUGCCCCCAUAGUUCUGGAAUCCUAGAGAAAGUGCACAGCCCACCCCCACCUUUCCGUAUAACAGGCUUGUUUCUCAGAGCUGAGAGUGGCUGGGUGGUGCUAGGAGAAGUGGGGUGGAAGGCUGGGUGACCAGCUAGGGGAGCGGGAGGGACCUGGGAUGUAACACUGUCUGGAACUGUCAGGGGCUGGAGCAAGAGUGGUUGAGGGUAAAAGGGAGGGAGGAGAGGCGGCCGGCACAUGGAGCGUCGUUAGCUGGCUGGAAGAGAAUGGCUCAGCUCUGUGGAUGUCCUUCCACGUGUAUUAUUUCCUCCUGGAAACCACUGGUUUAGCAGACUUCCUUAGAGUCAGGCAGCCAGGGCUCAGUCCUGGCUGUUGGCUUGUGGCCUGCCCCUUCCUCCCUCUGCUCCUCAUCUGUGAAAUGGGAGUGUAAAAGGCUCUCCCCAGGCAGGGGAUGCUGUGAGUAUUGGGUGAGAUCACAGGUGAGUGCCCUGCUUGGCUGGGGUACAGCCCUCUAUGUGGGGUGGUUUUAUUAGUGUUGGUUUUCAGCAGCUAUUCCCAAAGAGAGAGGCAAUUACUCUCUUCCCCCAUUAAAGCCUGGGACCUCAUCUUCAUCUCAGUGAGGGAUGGCAACGUUUCAACCCUCAGUACCCGGAUACCCCGGCCCUCGGCCCGGCCAGCCUCAGUGCUUUGGGAAGCAUUUCAAAAGAGAAACCUCUUGACCCCCAAAUACCCUGUUCUCCAGUGAGCAGGGAGGGGAGAACAGCUCUUAAAAGGAAAAAUGGAAACGAGAAGUUUCCCACCUGCCUCUCCAGCGGAGCUGAUAUCUGUCUUUUGGGGGCCCUCUGGGUGGGGGUGCCACCCCCUGAGUCCUAUACAAUGAGGGCUGGGCCAGCUUGGCCUUGGGGCUCUGUAACCUCAAGUUAUUAUGGGGACCAGCUAGGAUACCAUUGCUGCUUAUCUAUUGUAUUAGGGUUCUCUAGAGGGACAGAACUAAUAGGAUAGAUAGGUAUAUAUAAAGGGUAGUUUACUAAGGGUAUUACUCACACGAUCACAAGGUCCCACAAUAGGCCCUCUGCAAGCUGAGGAGCAGGGAAGCCAGUCUGAGUCCCAAAGCUGUAGAACCUGGAGUUUGAUGUUCAAAGGCAGGAAGCAUCCAGCAUGGGAGAAAGAUGGAGGCUGGGAGACUAAGCCAGUCUAGUCUUUUCACGUUCUUCUGCCUGCUUUUUAUUCUGGCUGUGCUGGCAGCUGAUUAGAUGGUGCCCACCUAGAUUAAGGGUGGUCUGCCUUCUCCAGUCCACAGAUUCAAAUGUUAAUCUCCUUUGGCAACACCCUCACAGACACACCAGGAACCAUACCUUGCACGCUUCAAUCCAAUCAAGCUGACACAGUAUUAACCAUCACGCCUGUGGAGAGGGGAAGUGGCUCAGAUCCUGCUGGGCUCGAAUUGAGAAGAUGCAGCCAGUGUGUGUCUCCUAGGCUUUCUUUGCUGGACCUUAAGCUGUUCUGGGAACAUUCACAGGCCUUCCCUGUUUUUUGUUUGUUUGUUUGUUUGUUUUUAAGGAGAAUUCCAGCUCUUUUAAGAUGUCUCUAUUAUUAAAAAACAAAUGCAGGAAGAGAAAGAGAAAUGUCCUGUACAUAGUUGCUGAGGGAGGCGAAACCGCAGUGGGGUCACAGCUCAUGGGGCCGGGGUGAGGCGUCUCCUCACCCUGCGUCUAGGUAGAGACGCAUUUUAGGGGCACAGUGCCCCCCUCUGUCACCUCCUCUCCAUCCUUGCUUCCUGGAGGAGGCUCAGAACCCCUUUGGAAUUGUAGAGGCCUAAAGAUGAGGAGAGGCCGGGCAUGGUGGCUCAUGCCUUUAAUCUCAGCACUUUGAGAGGCAGAGAUGGAUGGAUCAUGAGGUCAGGAGAUCGAGACCAGCCUGGCUAACAUGGUGAAACCCCGUCUCUACUAAAAAUGCAAAAAAAUUAGCCAGGCGUGGUGGUGGGCACCUGUAGUCCCAGCUACUUGGGAGGCUGAGGCAAGAGAAUUGCUUGAACCCAGGAGGUGGAGGUUGCAGUGAGCCGAGAUCAUGCCACUGCACUCCAGCCUGAAUGACAGAGCAAGACUCCGUCUCAAAAAAAAAAAAAAAAAAAAAAAAGAUGAGGCGAGUGGGCCACUUAAGCAUUUUUGAGUCUUUCUGUUUUUUUGUGGCGCUGUCACUUUUGUGUUUGGUUCGGGCCUUGAUGAAGGCUUAGGGAAAAGACAGUCUGUUCAGUUCAGUGGGGAGCACAUGGACCUCAGGCUGUGUAUAGCACCCUGUGGCCCGAGGGCCCAGAAGCCUGGCCCCGGAGCCCCUGCCACCCCAUGAAUGAGCUUUAGGGUCUGAUGUGUGGGGCGGUGGCUCCCUAGGUAAGAGCCAGGUGUCAUGUGUGAAAAGUGGACCCAGCUGCCACUCCAGGGAUGGGAGGACUGUGGAAUCGCAGCACCAAUUUGUACAAGAGGCCAAUGGAGUCGUUCUCGUUACUUUGUAGGCUUUAUGUGCUGUGCUUGAGAAAAUGCAAACAGGCUAUUAGUCGGUGACAGGCAAUUAGUUCCGCCCCCGGCCUUGCUGCUUCUGCUGACGCAGGUUCGGAAGUCUCCUGGUUACCCAGCCUGGCACCCUCAGGCACAGCAGGGCGUUUGGCCCGGCACCCGCUCCUGUGGGGGCAGCAGCACGCCUUGUCUUGGCUUCCCUGCUAUACCAUUCCCCUCCUUCAGCCCCCGAGAGCACCCCAGGGUGCUCUCUCCUCCAGCAACCUUCACCUGAAUGCUGUCCCUCUAGAUUACCCCAUGGCUCGCUCUUGCAGCUCUGCCAGCUCUUGGUUCAAAUGUCACUGAUCAGGGAGGCCCUCUCUGACUCCACUGCCCCAAACUGGCCUCCACUGGCUCUCCUCCCCACCCCUGCCUUAGUUCUUUCUGUACUCAUGUGACACACCAAGCAGCACUCAGCUCAUGGGGAUGGCCUGGCUCCUCUUCCCUGCGCCAGUGUUUACACAACGAAGUCUGCACGUGUCUGGCAGACACUGGUGCCAGCAAACUUUCAGGGGCACACACAGCCCCUGCCUUUCUCCUUUCACACAUGGGUCCUUGGCGCAGAGGUGCUCUGUGGGCUGGAGCUGACCCUUCCUCAGGGUGCACCCCACCUCCUGCCCAAGCAGCCAGCCCUGGCCACAGUCUGCACGCAGCUGGGGGCAGAUGUUUUAGGAGCUUCUGGAAGGCCGGGCAGACCCUCCUUGGCUACUGUGCUGGGCUUUGCCAGGAGUGGUCUUCUGGGCCUCAGUUUCCGCAUGAGUACCCUGAGCCAGGGAGGGAUGGGGACUCCGUUCUGCCCACUCCCCAUCAUUCCGGUGAGGGAGGUGGCUCUACAGGUCCUCGCUGCCUCCUGGCAGCAUCACUGUCCUGGAUGAGGUGGGUGAGGAGGCUUCUCUCCACGGAAGCAAGUCUCAGGGGAUCCAGGGAGGUUGCAGCCUGGUCUCCAUGGCAACGGGUGAGCUGGUGCGGCUUCUCCGCGGGCGGCCCUUCCCCCUCCUGGGCCUGCCCUGGGCUGGAGGCCCUUCCUGAGGCAGAGAGGAAAGAAGGGGGAUGUGCCUUCCUUACUCUUCCCCCUCAUUAUAACUCCUAGUAAUUCCCCUUCACGUCUCUCCCAUUUCUGCCAACAAGGCUCAUUCCAAAAACUCUGGCUCCAUCCCAUCACCCAUGGCUCCUGACCGUGCCCUCCAUAACUCCCACACUGCAGGCCGCAGCCCCUGUUAACCCCUCUCACAGUCCACCCGGCUCUUGAACCUGUGCUGGGCUUUCUGGCAUCUCUCUCUCCUUGUGCCUGCCGGUCCCUCGGUGGAGUGCCUUUCUGCCUCCUCUUGCCCCAGCAAGCCCGGCUUGAACCCCAGGGCUGCUUUGUGAAGCCUUCCUCAGGUCCCCUCAGCCCUUGGUUCAUGGGUCCCAGACUCAGGUUCCUCCAGGGACCAAGUUGAUAAUAUAAAAGAGGAGAGUGUCUAGAUUAUACAAUGAUAACGUCAUCUGCCCCUUCACCCCAGGGCUGGGUGGCAGUGGGGAGUGGUGGGGUCUGGGGCAAACUGGAGAGUCCGCACCCCCAUCCCCAGGGGCAGCUUAUUGCUGCCAGGUGGGAGUGCAGGCUCACUGUUGCCACAGCCUCCAGUUCUUCAAGAGAAGCCAGAAGUUCAGAACUUUUGGACAAACUUUCCAAUUUAAGAACUGUUGACUCUGGCCGGGUACCGUGGCUCACACCUGUAGUCCCAGCACUUUGGGAGGCUGAGGCGAGUGGAUCACUUGAGGUCAGGAGUUCAAGACCAGCCUUACCAACAUGGCGAAAUCCCGUCUCUACUAAAAAUACAAAAAUUAGCCAGGUGUGAUGGUGCAUGCCUGUAGUCCCAGCUAUUCAGGAGGUCGAGGCAGGAGAAUUCUUGAACCCGGGAGGCAGAUGUUGCAGUGAGCCGAGAUCACGCCACUGCACUCCAGCCUGGGUGACAGAGUGAAACUCUGUCUCAAAAAGCCUAAAAACCGAGACCAAAACAAAACAAAUGAAAACUGUUGACUCAAAUCAAAACAUUACAGGGACCAAGCUGAGCAUUCCUGCAGGUUGAGCUUGGGCAGCCCUGGCAUAUGGUCAGGUCGGUUGGCCCCCAUCUGGCUUCCUCUUUUCUGACACUAACAGGGUUGCACUAUCAUGAUUUACCCCCUCUCCAUGCCCUCCCCCAAGUCUGUGCCUCUUCCAAGAGCGGAGUCCCUCCUUGUUUAUCUCUGUGAUGUCCCCAGAGCCUGCGGAGGCUCUGGGGGACAGGACGAGUGGGAGCUGUAAGGACUGAGGACCAACAAUGCUCCUGCCAGGCUCCGUGCUCCUGCCUCUACUCACUGCCCCACUUAGUUCCACACCAAGAGCGAGGCAGGGGCUGUCAGAAUGCUGCUUUUAUGGGGGAAGAAAUGGGGUUGGAGAGGGAAGGAUUUGCCCAGUCAUGGGGUGUGAAGUGGGGCAGCUAAAACAAAAUAGGAUCUAUUUUCGUUCCCAAGGCCAAGCACAUCACAGGGGUGCAGUAUGCUCUCUCUGUAUCUCUCUCUCUCCCCUAGGUCAGGGUGGUCCCUGGGGAGGCCCCGGGUUACCCCAAGACAGGUGGAAGGAGCUUCCUACCCCACCCUCUUCCUGUCAAGCUGGGCUUUGCGGCUACCAGGGCUGCUCCUUGUAUUGAGGCCCCAGCCUGGCUGGUAACAGAGGGUCCCUCCGCUGGGCUCAGUCUUCUGAGCAUGCUCUGCCCCCAGGAACCUGGAGGAUGGAAGUUGGGGGCCCUGGGUCCCUUCCAAAUGCCUUUGGGCCCUGUGCCUGGUCCUCAGUGCCCAUUUUCAGAGCCCCUGGCCCCUCCCUGCCUUGUGGACUGUGACAUGAUGCCAGUCCCCUGGGUCCAGGGGCAUGGUGGCCGGUGGAGAGGCCUCUGCGGCACCGAUGUCUCCUUGAGUGGCUUGACUCUGCCAGCCCAGCGGUGGCCCAGCUAAAUAUACCCUGGCUGACGUCAAGCACUCUUCUGCUCCUGGGGUUUUUCUUAAGCUGCAUUUAUAGUUUGCGUAUUGCUUUGUAAAGAUGUAAAGAUUUCACUUUUUCUUUUUCUUUUUUUUUUUUUUUGCCCCUUAGCAGACUGUCUUAUUGAGUGUACUCUGACUUAGAUGAUUAUGAAAAUAACUUACGGCUGCUGCAUUAGGAAGCUGGCAUGUGUCCAGAGGCAGGGCAUUUUUGUCAAUGUCAGUCUUUAGGUGAAGAAAACUUCUCUCCCCUCCCCCCAGUCAUGCACAUGCUCACACGCACACACACAUGCUCACACACACACACACAUGCUCACACGUGCACACACGUGUACACAUACACUUUCCUUCUCUCCUUUCCACUUUGUUUCUCACCACCUCCACAAGGCCAAGGAAGAGGCUACCUGGGCUGGGCUGGGCAGGGGGGUGUGAGCUGCCUCCUGGGGCCCAGCCUGGGAGGAAGGGUCAGCAUGCUUCCUCUGGGAGGAGGCCUGGCCGACUUCUCUCCCUAGGCCUCUGGCUUACCUGGGCCUAACCCCUUCCUUCUUUUUCUGGGCUCUCUUUGUCUCUCUCCUAGGCCAGGGCAGUCCCUGAGGAGGCUCCCCUAGGCCACCCCCUAGACGGGCGGGAGGAGCUUCCUACUCCACCCUCUCCCUGUCAAGCUGGGCUCCGAAGCUUCCAGGGCUGCUCCUUGGGUUGGGGCCCCAGCCUGGCUGGUAACAGAGGGUCUCUCUGCUGGGCUUGGUCCUCUGAACAUGCUCUGCCUCCAGGAAGCUGGAGGAUGGAAGUUGGGGGGCCCUGGGCCCCUUCCAAAUGCCCUCCUCCCUGUCUCUUCUGCCCCGGCAGUGAUGCCCCACAGCUCUGUGUCUACCUGGAGACCUCAGCCCUCUGCUUGGGGUCCAAGUCUCUGUCCCAUAUGCCCCUAUGGAACCCCCGCCUCCAUGGCAGCAGGAGCAAAGGCUCUGAGGCAAGUGUGCACCAGUGUCAGCAGGAGCAGCUGGGAGGCCGGUUGGUGGAGUAAAGUCAGGGAGGGUGCGUGUAGGAGGAUAACGCUGAGUCUGAGUGUCCUAUGGCACGUGGGAGAGAGGAUGGAUUUUAUCUGAGUGUCCCAUGGCUCCCAGGAGAGAGGAUGGAUUUUAUUCUAAGCAUGAUAAGAAGCAGUUGGAGGGUUUUAGUUGUGGUGGGAGUGGAGGGGGGAAACAAAUGAUCCUGUUUGCACUUGGAAGGGCUCACUCUGCCUGCUGGGGAGAAGGGCUCAGGGGCCAGGAGUGGAGUAGGAGGCUGCAGCUGCUCCCAUGCGAGGGGCAGUGAGGCGUGAGCAGGACAUGGCCAUCGUCGCGGGGGAGGUGGUCGGAUUCACAGGCGACAUUUGCCAGUAGACAAGGAGUGUGGGAACAGGGAGAAUUCAGGACGCCUCAAGUCCUAGGACGUGGCGGGGGCAGAUGCCAGAUGCCAUCUAUGUGUUUCAUAUGAAAAGGUAAAAAGCGGGUGGAAGGGACCCUCUGCAGCCUCUAGUCCAUGCUGUUCUGGUUGUUCCCAAGUGUGCUUGCUCGCCUUGGUUUGGCCGGGACUGAUCAUCAGGGUCAGCCCUUUCAUUCUGGUAGGAAUUGGAAGGAUUCUAGGCAGGUGUGGGAGUUGAGGCUGAACCUCCUGAGGGAUCAGAAGCUGGCAGGUCCCUGGAUUAGGGCAGCACCGCGGGUUUCCAUAAACGCUCCUUCGUGUCUCUCUUUGCAUGUCCUCAGAGCGGGAUGCCUUCGACACGCUGUUCGACCAUGCCCCGGAUAAGCUCAGCGUGGUGAAGAAGGUGAGCUAUUGGUGGGAUGUUGGAUGUGCUCUCCUCUGGCUCGUGGCUUUUUGACAGCACAAACGCCCGCUGGGAAGAAGGUGGGAAAAUGUUUGGAAUCUCAGAAAUGUUUGCCACAUGGAUUGAAAUGUAAUUACAGUCAAAAAUGUAACCACAGUGCAUAAAAUUAGCGCCUUUUAACUCAACCUCGCUGCUCCCUGGGUGUCUUCCUGCCUGCCCGCUCCACUUCUGUUAAGUGAAUUACCCAGCCAGCAGUUCUUUCUGACUCGAGGCCUUUUUUCAAUGUGGAAAUGUUUUUAAGCAUGUCAGCCUGCUGCUCUCGCUGGCCUCAUUACCAUCUACAGCCUGCCCAGUAAACACGCAGGCCUGUGCGGCUGAGCCGUGCCAUGCAUGGAUUUGGCCCGUUUCCCUCCAGACAGAGAACGGGCCCUCACUAGCCCAGGCAGCCUGCUGGUCAAUCUGUGGAUGGAAAAAUCUCCAAGGCUCUGGAGUUGGGGGCUGGGUGUGAUCAGCUUCUGGGGGAUCUGCCAUGGAGGCUUGUUCCCCUCAAAAGGAACUGGGGCCCACUGGCUGCUCAUUAACUUAUCCGAGUGGCUGCAGGCAUCCCAUUCAGGAGGCUGCGUGCAUCCCUCCUUCCCAUAACAUCGGAGGAGCGCUCAUUUCUACCCAUGGUACAGGCAAGAGAGUUCUCCUUUGUCUAGGACAGCUUACCCAAAUAGCUCUCCUAGUGCAAGACUUGUCAGAACCUUGCACAGGCUGACCUAUACUGUACUUCUCCAAGAGGGAGCUUGGUAGGAAGCAUUUUCCAAACUUGUUUGUUUAUAGUGGGAUUUAUUUAUCUAUCAAUUUUGGGGUAGGAUGCAUUGUAUUUCUGUGGAACCCACUUUUGGAAAAUGUUGGCCUGGGUUUGGACAAUGAGAUCAUUCAUUUUUGGAAGCAUUUUGCAAGAGGCUGUUGGAACCGUGCUAAUGGUCCUUCUGGGACAAAGCCUUCUUAGCACUCUUGGGUCUAAGAAGUGAGCCUCAGAGUGCCCCACCUCCACCUCGUCACAUGUGGCCCCCAGGGACCCUGACAGAACCGAUUCAGGGAAUGAAUCAAAUCCAGCUCCCCCACUUAUCAGCUGUGUGACUUCUGGCGAAGGGCGAGAUUAUACCCCCCAGCCUCUGUUUCCCCAUCUGUCAAGUGGGGACAGAGAUGUUACCCACCUCUCAGGGCACUGUGAGGAUAAACUGGGAUUCUGUCUGUGCAUGGGCUUAGCCUGCAGAGUAUAGUCACUGGUAGCAUUGAGAAUGGUGUGACCUGAGGUUGCUUUCAUCUCUCAGUAGAUACCAUGUUAAUUCAUUCUGCAAAAGACACAUUUUCGGCACUGGAUCCACCAGCAAGGAAGAAGACAGAAUCCUUUGAUUUGCCUGGUAGCUUCCCACUCCAGUCUGUCCCUUCCUCACCUCCACAUUGCAAGUUUAGGUGUCUGUGGCUCUCUGUGCCCCAGAAUGAAGUCGGGGGCCCCUGCCCACCUCUGCAGGUUUCUCCCUGGGUUGUCCCCUUUUACUCCCUCCCAUCCCACCCACAUCCAGCCACAGCCUGAAGACCCCAAAGUAUUUGCAGAUGUGUCUGGGUGCCCACUCGGCUCACUCUCACCUUGCACUGGCCCACCCUCAGGCCCAGCUCCAAUGCUUCCUCUCCAUGCUCUUAACGGGGGUCCGCACACCCGUUAAUGGCUCAUGAAAUCUCUCCUGCAUUGCGUGUUUCCCUGCAGCGCCCCAUCUCUUGACUUCUCUGUCCCACCACUACACGCAUAUGGAGAAUUACAUCACAGGCCCUUUGGCGGGGGCCAGGGGUGGAGCUCUCUGACUGUGUUUGUGUCCUUAGUACCAAGCAGCAUGCCUGGCACAUAGUAGCUGCUCAGUAAAUUUGAGCAGGAUGGGUAAGAAAUCAUAUCAUGGGCAGGCCGGGUGCGGUGGCUCACGCCUAUAAUCCUAGCACUUUGGGAGGCUGAGGCGGGCGGAUCACAAGGUCAGGAGAUCGAGACCAUCCUGGCUAACGUGGCGAAACCCUGUCUCUACUAAAAAAUACAAAAAAAUGAGGUGGGCAUGGUGGCGGGCACCUAUAGUCCCAGCUACUCGGGAGGCUGAGGCAGGAGAAUGGCGUGAACCCGGGAGGCGGAGCUUGCAGUGAGCCGAGAUUGUGCCACUGCACUCCAGCCUGGGCGACAGAGCGAGACUCCGUCUAAAAACAAAACAAAACAAAACAAAAAUCAUAUCAUGGGCAGUGGUGGGUGAUAUUGAGUUUCCGUCAAAGUUGGGUUUGGUCACUGAGGAAUUACAGGUGACAGGUUUUAAGCUUGUGCCAGAGAGAAGCCAGUGCCCCUUGGUACCUACAUACCAGGGCUCAGAAAAUCCCCACAGCCCAGAGAGAUCACCCUGGGUGGAUCUCCCCAUGUAUUGUAAAUCGAUAGGGGGGCUGGGCACCGUGGCUCACACAUGUAAUUUCAGCACUUUGGGAGGCCAAAGUGGGUGGAUCACCUGAGGUCUGGAGUUUGAGACCAGCCUGACCAGCAUGGAGAAACCCCAUUUCUACUAAAAAUACAAAAUUAGCCAGGCUUGGUGACGGGUGCCUGUAAUCCCAGCUACUCGGGAGGCUGAGGCAGGAGAAUCGCUUGAACCUGGGAGGUGGAGGUUGCAGUGAGCUGGGAUCAUGCCAUUGCACUCUAGCUGGGGCAACAAGAGCCCGGAUGAUCCUCAGUGGUCUGGGGUGCAGGCUUCAAACCUGUAGCUGUCUAGCGACAGAGUGGUUCAAUUCCACCUUUGAAGGCCGGGCGCAGUGGCUCACGCCUGUAAUCCCAGCACUUUGGGAGGCUGAGGCGGGCGGAUCAUGAGGUCAGGAGAUCGAGACCAUCCUGGCUAACACAGUGAAACCCCGUCUCUACUAAAAAUACAAAAAAAUUAGCCGGGCAUGGUGGCGGGUGCCUGUAGUCCCAGCUACUUGGGAGGCUGAGGCAGGAGAAUGAUGUGAACCCGGGAGGCAGAGCUUGCAGUGAGCCGAGAGCACACCACUGCACUCCAGCCUGGGUGACAGAGUGAGACUCUGUCUCAAAAAAAAAAAAAAAAAAAUUCAGUAGGUGUGGCUCAAGGCAGCACUUUCCUCAGUCUUCUGAGUGUGCCGUUUACCGUUCCAGGUCACAUCUAAGAUACAUUUGCAAAUGUAAUGAUCCUUCCCUGGCAGUUUCAUCUUUCUUAAGAGCACAGAGUGCUCUCCAGUAUGAUUGUUAAAUAUGGCAUGCGUGCACGGAUUGGCAUAUGUGUGCAUGGGUUGGUGAACAGAGACAUGUGUAGCCAGGAUAGAUGUGGGCAUUAUGCCAUGAAAACUAGGGGCUACUGUCAGGAUGUUGAGUUUGAAACAUGGGCUUUUUAUUUUAGCAAACAGGAGAUGAUGAAAGCGUUUCACAGAGCUGGGGUUGGCAAAUGUCAAGCCUGCCCCUCCAGAUGGGACCUGCACGCGGGCCAUUCACGGCUCCUGUGUCUCUUUUGUUCUUGGCAGUCUCUCAUCACUUUUGUGAACAAGCACCUGAACAAGCUGAAUUUGGAGGUGACGGAACUGGAGACCCAGGUAUGCGCUGCUUUGGCUUGAAGGAUCCUUUUUCCACCGCCGUUUUCAGUCAGUGUUUUGAUCCCAGGUGGGGUGCGUGAACAAAGCUGGCGCCAUUUUGUUCAUCUCACAAGGAACUCCCGUGGUGCGGGCAGAAAUAACCACCGCGGCUUUCUCAGCCCCUCUGUCUUCCUUUCCUGGGGCUGCUGCCACAAAGCACCACAAACCGAGUGGCUGAAACAACAGACCUUUGUGUCCUCGAAGUGCUGGAGGCCUGAAGUCCAAAAUCAAGGUGGGGCCCGGGUGGGUUCCCUCCAAGGCUGUGAGGGAGGAGCUGUUCCUGGCCUCCGUCCCAGCUUCUGGGGUUUUGCCGGGAUCUUUAGCAUUCCUUGGCUUGUACACACAUCACUCCCUUCUCUGCCUUCAUCUUCCUGUGGUGUCGUCCUUGUGUGUGUGUCUCUGUGUCCAAAUUUCCCCGUUUUAUCAGGACGUGGUCAUGUUGGAUUAGAGCCCACCCAUGGCUUCAUCCCAACCUGACUGCGUCUAUGUAAACCCUGUUUCCAGAUACGGUCACAUUCAGAGGUCCUGGUGAUUAGGGUUCCACUGUAUCUUUUUUUUUUUUUAAGACAGAGUCUCGCUCUGUCACCCAGGCUGGAGUGCAGUGGCAUGAUCUCAGCUCACUGCAACCUCCGCCUCCAGGGUUCCAACGAUUCUCCUGCCUCAGCCUCCCGAGUAGCUGGGACUACAGGUGCGUCCCACCAUGCCCAGCUAAUUUUUGUAUUUUUAGUAGAGACAGGGUUUCACCAUGUUGGUCAGGAUGGUCUCGAUCUCUUGGCCUCAUGAUCUGCCUGCCUCAGCUUCCCAACUACUGUAUCUUUUUUUGGAAGAUGCAAAACCCCAAAACACCUGAAUGGUGUUAUUCAACCCAUAACACCCUCCAGGGCUCCACCCCAGCCCACCACAGGGCCUUUGCACAUGCAUUUCCUCUGUCUAGAACAUGCUGGCCCCUUCAGCCUCUGCUCAGUGCUGUUGUCACACUGUGGCCAGGACCUAGCAAAUGUCCCCCUGGUAAGUACGUACAACACAUUUCUUCUGCAAUAAGUAUAUCAAGUCUACUCCCCCAGCCCCAACCCCUACUCAAAGCUAAAGGAGCAUCCUUAAAUUAUGUUUUUGGGCACUCUGUGAGCAUUAAAGACAAAAUAUAAUUUUCCCAGGAUUAGCGGGGUGCUUGAAUGUGGAGGUUUUUGAGCUCUUGGUACAGACAUCCCUAAUGCACAGCUGAUCCUUCUUAAACCCCAGGGUGAAUGCAUUCAUUCCCUUCUCUUUCUUUAACUUUUCUCAUUUGCUUUUCUAAUUAAAAAAGUAAUUCAGGUUCAUUGUAGAAAUGCCUGAAAAUGCAGAUAAGCAAAACAAAUAAAAAUCACCCAUAAUCCCGUCACCCAGAGGUGAAUGCACACAGGGUUUUGUUCAGGCCUUUUCUCUACACAUACAGCGAGUCAUGGACAGCGUGGGUCUGUAUGUAAAAGCAUCACGGUCUGUUUUUAAUGUGUAUAUUUAUUUGUGUAUCGUUGGCCAACACAUUUCUCAUUUUCUGCAGUUUACAAAUGUUGCACAUUUAGCCUCAGAUUAUUUUCUGUUUGAGACAUUAGCACCCCAGAAGCCGCUGAGGUGAAAAGUAAAAAUCUUCCUUUCUCUUUUUCUGGAGACCUCCCCCUUCAGACUCUCCAGGGGCAGCUAACUGCAGUUCAUGGUUGGAUGUGUAUUUUUCUAGAUAUUUUCUUUUUCUUUCUUUCUUUUUUUUGAGACAGAGUCUCGCUCUGUCCCCCAGGCUGGAGUGCAGUGACACAAUCUCAGCUCACUGCAACUUCCACCUCCUGGGUUCAAGCAAUUCUCCUGCCUCAGCCUCCUGAGUAGCUGGGACUACAGGUGCACCUCACCACGCCUGGCUAAUUUUUUUGUAUUUUUAGUAGAGAUGGGGUUUCACCAUGUUGGUCAGGCUGGUCUCGAACUCCUGACCUUGUGAUCCACCUGCCUCAGCCUCCCAAAGUGUUGGGAUUACAGAUGUGAGCCACAUUUUCUAU
rnacentral:sRNA from 1 species